rnacentral:rRNA from 1 species
CCUACGGGAGGCAGCAGUGGGGAAUCUUGCGCAAUGGGCGAAAGCCUGACGCAGCAACGCCGCGUGCGGGAUGACGGCCUUCGUGGUUGUAAACCGCUUUCAGCAGGGACGAAAAUGACGGUACCUGCAGAAGAAGCUCCGGCUAACUACGUGCCAGCAGCCGCGGUAAUACGUAGGGGGCGAGCGUUGUCCGGAUUCAUUGGGCGUAAAGAGCUCGUAGGCGGUUCAGUAAGUCGGGUGUGAAAGCUCCGAGCUCAACUCGGAGAGGCCACCCGAUACUGCUGUGACUUGAGUCCAGUAGAGGAGCGUGGAACUCCUGGUGUAGCGGUGAAAUGCGCAGAUAUCAGGAAGAACACCCGUAGCGAAGGCGGCGCUCUGGGCUGGUACUGACGCUGAGGAGCGAAAGCGUGGGUAGCAAACAGGAUUAGAUACCCGUGUAGUC